rnacentral:rRNA from 1 species
UACAGAGGGUGCAAGCGUUAAUCGGAAUUACUGGGCGUAAAGCGUGCGUAGACGGUUACAUAAGUCAGGUGUGAAAGCCCCGGGCUCAACCUGGGAAUUGCAUUCGAGACUGCGUAGCUAGGGUGCGGAAGAGGGAAGCGGAAUUUCCGGUGUAGCGGUGAAAUGCGUAGAUAUCGGAAGGAACACCAGUGGCGAAAGCGGCUUCCUGGUCCAGCACCGACGUUCAGGCACGAAAGCGUGGGGAGCAAACAGG